rnacentral:rRNA from 1 species
UACGGGGGAGCAAGCGUUGUUCGGAUUUAUUGGGCGUAAAGGGCGCGUAGGCGGUCAGUGCAAGUCAGUUGUGAAAUCUCCGGGCUUAACUCGGAACGGCCAAGUGAAACUGUCGAGCUAGAGUGUAGAAGGGGCAAUCGGAAUUCUUGGUGUAGCGGUGAAAUGCGUAGAUAUCAAGAGGAACACCUGAGGUGAAGACGGGUUGCUGGUCUAACACGUGACGUGAGGCGCGAAAGCCAGGG